rnacentral:rRNA from 1 species
GACGAACGCUGGCGGCGUGCUUAACACAUGCAAGUCGAACGGAAAGGCCCCUUCGGGGGUACUCGAGUGGCGAACGGGUGAGUAACACUUGAGUAACCUGCCCUUGACUUCGGGAUAACUUCAGGAAACUGGGGCUAAUACCGGAUAGGAAUCCUUGCUGCAUGGUGGGGGUUGGAAAGCUUCGGCGGUUUUGGAUGGACUCGCGGCUUAUCAGCUUGUUGGUGGGGUAGUGGCUUACCAAGGCUUUGACGGGUAGCCGGCCUGAGAGGGCGACCGGCCACAUUGGGACUGAGAUACGGCCCAGACUCCUACGGGAGGCAGCAGUGGGGAAUAUUGCACAAUGGGCGGAAGCCUGAUGCAGCAACGCCGCGUGCGGGAUGACGGGCUUCGGGUUGUAAACCGCUUUCAGCAGGGGCGAAGCUUGUGGUGACGGUACCUGCAGAAGAAGCACCGGCUAACUACGUG